GAGUGGUUGAAAAACGAGUUUUAAUGACUCCAACCUAAGUGUAUGUAAACUUCCGACUUCAACUGUACCUCUAUUUGUGAUAUUAUACCUUGCCUCGCUAGCUUGCUAUGAAAUAAAUCCUGCAACAUCUGAUUCUUAACAUUGUUUUGGCAAAAACUCUAAUUUUUCUGAACUUUUGGCAGAGCGAGUGUCAGUCGGUGCAGUCGUUCUGUGACAGAAAGCAGCAGAGCUUAGAGUCACUAGGAGAGCCCAGAGAGAGGGCGAAGAGCAGCACGUCACAGAGGGAUCAGGUUGCAGGACCACUAGUACCCCUCUGACCCACACACUGUAUUCCACAUGGAACCUCCAAUGAGUUGGUGACAAAGGAAAGAUAGGCCAAGACCCUCCACUUCCUGUUGAAACACUCACCACCACCACCUUGGACCCUGACGGUGACGUCAUACAGAUACGCAUAAUGACCGUGAUCACAGUUCUCACACAAGCAAUCUUGCUCAUCUUUUUUUCUGGCAUUGUUCAAAAUACACACAAUAAUAGCUAAUAGCUAACACAUCAAUAGCUAUAGCUAACACAUCUAUAGCUAGUAUCUAACAUAUCAAUAGCUAAUAGCUAACACAUCAAUAGCUAAUAGCUAACACAUCAAUA